UCCAUCAUCGUAUGGUUGUUUGUGUGCAAAUGAACUCAAGCUUACGGACCAUGUCAAAUGUGAUAUAGGGAAGCACCUGCGUGAGCUGGGUGCGCAAUUAUGCAGGCUGUGGCUCGAGUGGUUAAUGCCCUUGAUUUAUAUUUUUGGCCUUCCUGUGACAUCGGGUGCUAUAGGUGUCCCCAGUGGUGCGUUGGGAAGACCGCACCACCGUCUGGAGAGCCCUGCAGUUGCAGGCGGUGCAGUUGCCGUACCAGGCGGUGAUACAGCCCGACAGGAUGCUCUCAAUUGUGCACCUGUAAAAGUUUGAGAGGGUUAUAAGGGGCCAAGCCAAAUUUCUUCAGCCUCCUGAGGUUGAAGAGGUGCAGUUGUGCCUUCAUCACCACACUGCAAACCAUGGAGCCAUUUUGUAUUCUACAUGAGUCAAAUGUAAUGGAGUCUGUUGCCCAUGUUGUGAAUGGUUGCUGUUUAUACAAGGAUUUCAAUUUUUACAAUCUUUUGAGCAUGGAUUAAAUUAAUUAUAUUAUUUUUGCAUUUCAGCCUCUGGGUUAUUCCUUUUCAUGGUUUUGAGUCUCCAAACAGGUGAUGGUGGAACAGGUCACGGGUUCAGCCAACAACAUAUCAGAUGCCAUUAUUCUACUGACCGAGACCAUGGUGGAGCGACACGAGGUGAGACCUGUUACAGAAAUCAGGUUCUUUUUCAGUCCAGGUUAUACCUGGACACCUUUGGAUGUUGAUGCCAUUAAGAUGCACACACACAUUAACGUUCCUGUUUAAGGUCGUUGUACAUGAGCAAAAACACACAUAAGAUGUGAUCAUUUCAUACAAAAUACUUUAUAAAAAUCGGGAAGGCAUGACGUGUUAUUUUACCUCACCCACGGGUGGGCGGAGCUCGUGGUGGUGGAGAAUCGCCACCCCAGGUACCACCUCCACGUCUCAUGACUGUAGUGACAGCUUCAUCGUGGUGUUGACCCGCGGGUGCCUCGACUAUCGACAGCAUCCCUCCGCUUUAUAGACAGGUGUUGAUGGUUCUGUCUCAGUUGGAGGGCAACGCUGGUUUCUCCAUCUCACAGAUUGGCCCACAGGAAGGCAGUCCACGCCUUGCUGGGCAUGGACACCACACAGCAGGCCUCCAUUGGCCUCGUCCACUUUGCCCAAGGACUCUACCUCCUACACCAGGGCUGUUAAAUUAUUUUCAUGGACGGCCAAAACACUUCUAGUGUGUUUCCUUUCCUUCUAAGUGUUUCGGUCCUCCAUGUCCGGAAUUGAAUAGCCCUGCCAUACACCAUCAUCACAGUUGUGCACCGGGGCCUCCCACUCCUCUUUCUAUUCUGGUUAGAGCCAGUGUGUGCUGUUCUAUGAAGG